GGUCGAAAGGGGAAAUUCAUUCGCGUUUCGAUAUUGGAGUUAUAGGAAUGUGCGACAGUGAGGGUACUUUUGUGCGACUCCUGCGCCUUUCUUUUAACUAGCCGAGAUCGAACGCGUGCACUUUUCCCCUAGUAGGACGUCGCGAUCCGUUGGGUGUUUGUCUAAGAAUCGAGGUGGUGCCCGCGAGACAUUUUCGUCACGCGGACCCUUGAAUUUCGACAAACUCGCUCGACGGUAUCCAAACGGCGCGAGGCCGCUUAUGUUGUGCGUUCGUGUGAUAUAAAAUACGAACGUACAAACAGAUUUAGCGUUCGGCCCGUCGCAAGCACGUACCGUAUUUGACGGCGAUCGGACCUGGUGCCGAUUCUGUCGCGGGACGACUGUUGGUUGACGGUGUUCUCGAACAGACCUCGU
rnacentral:rRNA from 1 species